rnacentral:rRNA from 1 species
AACAAACGCUGGCAGCGUGCCUAACACAUGCAAGUCGUACGAGAAAGGGUCCUUCGGGGCCUGAGUAAAGUGGCGCACGGGUGAGUAACGCGUGGAUAAUCUGCCCUUCAGUUGGGAAUAACUCAUCGAAAGGUGGGCUAAUACCGAAUAAUGCUGUGAGACCUCGGUUGAUCAGCCAAAGAGAGCCUCUGCUUGCAAGCCCUCGCUGAAGGAUGAGUCCGCGUACCAUUAGCUAGUUGGUAGGGUAAUGGCCUACCAAGGCGACGAUGGUUAGCUGGUCUGAGAGGAUGAUCAGCCACACUGGAACUGAGACACGGUCCAGACUCCUACGGGAGGCAGCUGUGAGGAAUCUUGCGCAAUGGGGGCAACCCUGACGCAGCAACGCCGCGUGAGUGAGGAAGGUCUUCGGAUCGUAAAGCUCUGUCGGAUGGAAAGAACCGCAUAGGGGUAAACAGCCCCUGUGUCUGACGGUACCAUCAAAGGAAGCACCGGCUAACUCCGUGCCAGCCGCCGCAGUAAAAC